ACUUAUCUUUUAUAUAUUAACUACAUCUCCAAGUUAAAUCCUACCUCCCCUUGCCCUUCCUCUUCUUCUUCCUCGGAUCGCUCCACGCGUUGCUUCAGGCACACAAGCUAUUAGUGAGGAGGAACAAUACAAUGAAGGUUUGUCUCGGUGAUCUAUGACUGGGCAUCUUUCGAUAACACCACCUGACGCCAUAGGAUAUUUUGUCGACGGACAAUGAUCAUAGUCCAAUCCUCACCAAUUCACUCCAUAUACGUCAUGAAAUUGAAGAGAUACACUGACCGGCUGUUGGGUAAAUGAACCUUAGAAUUAGAUUUGGAAAAUAGGAUUUGAUAAUCAAUUACACUAAGCUUAAGUAAUUAAGCAUUUUGCUUAAUCACUUAAGUGUCAUUUGAUGUGAGGCUAGUUGAAUCGCGUAGGCAAAGCGCUUAAGGUUUUUUUGUGAGAAAAUAAAAAGAGUCGUAAUCGAUUAAGGCAUGCUUAGUCGAUUACAGUAAUCGUUAAACAAGUUUUCAUGAGUGAAUAGAAAACUUUAUAAUAGAUUAAGCUAGUUGAUUAGGAAAACUUGAUUGAUUAAAGUAAUCGAUUAAGCUUGAAAAACUAGCCGUUAUGGAGUCAAUAAAAGGGUUUUUCUCGACACUGUUUUAAGAAUUACUCUCCCACUCUCUUCACCAAGCUCACAGAUCUUCACAUCAAUUCUUGGAGACUUAGAGAAAAGUAUUGUUGCACUUCCAAGUUGAUCAUGACUAAGUAGUAAGAAGCUAAAGUUUCAUUUAUUGUAAAUCUUGUAAGAUUUCGUAUUGUAUUAGCUUCUUUUGUUUUUCUUCUUGUAUUUUUUAUUGAGAGCUUGUACAAGCUUUCUCCGCCUCCAAAGUGUUUCCGAGAAAGAGUUGUUUGAUAAUGGAAGUGUGAGAGAGGGUCGGAUCUUUGGAUUA